rnacentral:misc_RNA from 1 species
GAUGAAGAACGUAGCGAAAUGCGAUAAGUAAUGUGAAUUGCAGAAUUCAGUGAAUCAUCGAAUCUUUGAACGCACAUUGCGCCCCCUGGUAUUCCGGGGGGCAUGCCUGUUCGAGCGUCAUUUCACCACUCAAGCCUCGCUUGGUAUUGGGCAACGCGGUCCGCCGCGUGCCUCAAAUCGACCGGCUGGGUCUUCUGUCCCCUAAGCGUUGUGGAAACUAUUCGCUAAAGGGUGUUCGGGAGGCUGCGCCGUAAAACAACCCCAUUUCUAAGGUUGACCUCGGAUCAGGUAGGGAUACCCGCUGAACUUAAGCAUAUCAAUAAGCGGAGGA